rnacentral:rRNA from 1 species
GACGUAGGGGGCCAGCGUUGCUCGGAAUUACUGGGCGUAAAGGGUUCGUAGGCGGUGCGGUAAGUCGGAAGUGAAAUCUCUGGGCUUAACUCAGAGGCUGCUUUCGAAACUGCCGUGCUGGAGUGCGGGAGAGGCGAGUGGAAUUGCAGGUGUAGCGGUGAAAUGCGUAGAUAUCUGCAGGAACACCCGUGGCGAAGGCGGCCAGCUAGACCAGUUCUGACACUGAGGCGCGAUAGCGUGGGGAGCAAACAGG